GAUGAACGCUGGCGGCGUGCUUAACACAUGCAAGUCGAGCGAGUGAGUUCUUCGGAACGAUCUAGCGGCGGACGGGUGAGUAACACGUGGGCAACCUGCCUCAUAGAGGGGAAUAGCCUCCCGAAAGGGAGAUUAAUACCGCAUAAAAUUAUCGAGUGGCAUCACAUGAUAAUCAAAGGAGUAAUCCGCUAUGAGAUGGGCCCGCGGCGCAUUAGCUAGUUGGUGAGGUAACGGCUCACCAAGGCGACGAUGCGUAGCCGACCUGAGAGGGUGAUCGGCCACAUUGGGACUGAGACACGGCCCAGACUCCUACGGGAGGCAGCAGUGGGGAAUAUUGCACAAUGGGGGAAACCCUGAUGCAGCAACGCCGCGUGAGUGAUGAAGGUCUUCGGAUUGUAAAGCUCUGUCUUUGGGGACGAUAAUGACGGUACCCGAGGAAGAAGGACCGGCUAACUACGUGCCAGCAGCCGCCGUAA
rnacentral:rRNA from 1 species